rnacentral:rRNA from 1 species
CGUAGGUGGUUUGGUAAGUCGGAUGUGAAAGCCCCGGGCUUAACCUGGGAAUUGCAUUCGAUACUGCUUGACUAGAGUAUGGUAGAGGGAAGUGGAAUUCCAGGUGUAGCGGUGAAAUGCGUAGAUAUCUGGAGGAACAUCAGUGGCGAAGGCGACUUCCUGGACCAAUACUGACGCUGAGGUGCGAAAGCGUGGGGAGCAAACA